AUCUUAAAAAGGAAGCACAACAUAGAUUGAAAGCAAAAUGGAUUGCUAAAACGUAUCAUUCCUCAUUCUCACAUAAAUCCAGAGGAGUUGCAAUAUUAAUCCAUAAAGGGAUACCUUUUAAACGUACAUUAACUAUAACGGACAUUGAUGGUAGAUAUAUUGUAUUAGUAGGCGAGUUAUACGCAAAAAAAGUGAUUAUUCUUAAUGUUUACGGACCAAAUUUUGAUAGUCCCUUGUUUUUCAAGAAGCCAUUCAAUAUAAUUCCGGAACUUACACAACACAAUUUAAUAAUUGGAGGAGACUUAAAUUGUACACUAGGCCCUUAUUUAGACAGAUCAUCAAGACAACGAAAUGUAAAAUCUAAGUCAAGUGAAUUUCUAAAUGCAUACAUUAAUACUACUAAUAUUAAGGAAGUCUGGAGAAUCGAAAACCCAACCGGACGAGAAUACUCAUUUUACUCAUCAGUACAUAAAACCUAUUCAAGAAUAGACUAUUUUUUAGUAGACUCGAAGCUCAUCCCAUUUACCUAGAACUCGAAAUAUCAUAACAUCAUAAUCUCGGACCAUGCACCCUUAACAUUUAUGAAUAACCUAAAUGGAAGGACCGAGAAACAGACACAAUGGAGACUCAAUCCACAAAUUUUAAAUGAAAAAGUAUGUCAGGAAUAUCUUACUAAACAGAUUCAUAUAUUUUUUGAGACCAAUGACCGCCCUGGAAUGUCUGCCUCCCUUCUCUGGGAAACAUUUAAAGCAUUUGCUCGAGGAGCAUUAAUCUCCUCCCAAGCAUUUCAUAAUAAAGAGAAUCGGGUUAAGCAACGGAUACUGGAAAGGGAAAUAAGGCAAUUAGACAUAGAAAAUGCGGCUGCGCCAACUAUGAUAAAACACAAUAAAAUUGCAGUACUGAAAUAUAAAUUAAAUUAAAUAUACUCAGACCAAGUUAUAAAACUUUAUCAGCAUACUAAUAAAUCACAUUUUGAAUUUGGUGACAAACCAUAAAAACUAUUAGCACGCCAACUUCGAAAGCUGGACGGGGAAAAAACGAUUCACAAAAUUAGAUCAGAUAUGGGAGAACUACUAACACAGCCCAAGGAUAUCAAUGAGAGAUUUCUGCAAUAUUAUCACAAUCUUUACUCAGCCAAAACGACAGAACACUCGACAGGAAUGGAAGCAUUCUUACAGAAAUGUAAUCUUAAAGGUUUAGAUUUGAAAGAGAGAGAAUUACUAGGUGCUGAAAUAACAGUAAAAUAAAUUGAAGAGUCUAUUAGGUCUCUACAAAACGGCAAGGCCGCCGGGCCCUGACGGUAUAAGCUCUGAAUUUUAUUUUUUAAAUUAUGAUCUGAUCUCCCCACGUUUACAGACACUAUACAUACAUUUAUACUCAACAGAAACUACCAGAAACGCUAAACGGAUCUAUAAUAACACUUAUAUCAAAAACAGAUAAGGACCCUGAAGACCCAGGUUCAUAUAGAGCUAUUGCUCUCUUAAAUACUGAUCAGAAAAUAUUAACUAAAAUCCUAGCACAAAUAUUAGGUACAGUGAUUAAUAAAUUAAUUCACCCUGACCAAACAGGAUAUAUCCCAAAAAGUUACUCAUCUUAUAAUCUGAGACGAUUAUUCAAUAUUAUAUACUCAAAGAGAAUUACUAACGCAGACUUUGCAAUUAUUUCGUUAGAUGCUGAGAAAGCAUUUGAUCAGGUGGAAUGGCCCUAUUUAGUUUUGGUGAUGGAAAAAAAUUCAAUUGGGCGAGAAGUUUAGCACAUGGGUAAAACUUUUAUAUACUAACCCAACAGCUAGAAUAUUAACAAACCAAAUGUUAUCAACUAAAUUUAACUAAUCUAGAGGUUGCAGACAAGGAUGCUCGUUAUCUCCGUUAUUAUUCGCACUCGCUAUUGAGCCACUAGCAGAAAGUGUUAGGGCCCAUCCAGAAAUACACGGGUAUAAUACUAAAUACACUGAGAAUAAAAUCUCUUUAUAUGCAGACGAUGUAUUAAUCUACAUUACAAAACCUGAAAUUAGUAUUCCAAACCUAUUAAAUGUAAUAACUCAAUUUGGUUUGUUCUUGGGAUACAGAAUUAAUUGGAAUAAAAGCGAAAUCAUGCCAAUAAUCAAAAUCAAUCUACAUAUACUACAACAAUCCCCCUUUAAAAUAGUUAAUGGAAAAUUUAAAUAUCUAGGAAUCUAUGUAAC